rnacentral:rRNA from 1 species
ACGCUGGCGGCAGGCCUAACACAUGCAAGUCGAACGGUAACAGGAAGCAGCUUGCUUCUUCGCUGACGAGUGGCGGACGGGUGAGUAAUGUCUGGGAAACUGCCUGAUGGAGGGGGAUAACUACUGGAAACGGUAGCUAAUACCGCAUAACGUCGCAAGACCAAAGAGGGGGACCUUCGGGCCUCUUGCCAUCGGAUGUGCCCAGAUGGGAUUAGCUUGUGGUGGGGUAACGGCUCACCAGGCGACGAUCCCUAGCUGGUCUGAGAGGAUGACCAGCCACACUGGAACUGAGACACGGUCCAGACUCCUACGGGAGGCAGCAGUGGGGAAUAUUGCACAAUGGGCGCAAGCCUGAUGCAGCCAUGCCGCGUGUAUGAAGAAGGCCUUCGGGUUGUAAAGUACUUUCAGCGGGGAGGAAGGGAGUAAAGUUAAUACCUUUGCUCAUUGACGUUACCCGCAGAAGAAGCACCGGCUAACUCCGUGCCAGCAGCCGCGGUAAUACGGAGGGUGCAAGCGUUAAUCGGAAUUACUGGGCGUAAAGCGCACGCAGGCGGUUUGUUAAGUCAGAUGUGAAAUCCCCGGGCUCAACCUGGGAACUGCAUCUGAUACUGGCAAGCUUGAGUCUCGUAGAGGGGGGUAGAAUUCCAGGUGUAGCGGUGAAAUGCGUAGAGAUCUGGAGGAAUACCCGGUGGCGAAGGCGGCCCCCUGACGAAGACUACG